rnacentral:tRNA from 1 species
UCCCUAGUGGUUUAGUGGUAAAGAAUCUGCCUGCCAAUGCAGGAGACACAGGUUUGAUUCCUGGGUGGGGAA